rnacentral:rRNA from 1 species
UGAGCGGCAAGAGCUCAGAUUUGAAAUCGCAGCGGCAACGCGGCGAGUUGUAGAUUGCAGGUGGGAGAGUUUGCGGGCGGCGGGCGUCGAAGUCCCUUGGAACAGGGCGCCACUGAGGGUGAGAGCCCCGUGCGAUGCCUGCCCAUGCUUUGAACUCCCCUCUGACGAGUCGAGUUGUUUGGGAAUGCAGCUCUAAGCGGGUGGUAAAUUCCAUCUAAGGCUAAAUACUGGCGAGAGACCGAUAGCGAACAAGUACUGUGAAGGAAAGAUGAAAAGCACUUUGAAAAGAGAGUGAAACAGCACGUGAAAUUGUUGAAAGGGAAGGGUAUUGGGCCCGACAUGGGAAUCGCGCACCGCUGCUCCUCGUGGGCGGCGCUCUGCGCUUUUCCUGGGCCAGCAUCGGUUUCCGCUGCAGGAGAAGGGGCUGUGGAAUGUGGCUGGCACGCUUGCGCGCCAGUGUUAUAGCCACGGGCCAGAUGCUGCGUGUGGGGACCGAGGGCUGCGACGGCAACGUCUCGGAUGCUGGCACAACGGCGCAAUACCGCCCGUCUUGAAACACG